rnacentral:rRNA from 1 species
GGCGGCGUGCUUAACACAUGCAAGUCGAACGAUGAACCACUUCGGUGGGGGAUAGUGGCGAACGGGUGAGUAACACGUGGGCAAUCUGCCUGCACUCUGGGACAAGCCUGGAAACGGGGUCUAAUACCGGAUACUGAUCCUCGCAGGCAUCUGCGAGGUUCGAAAGCUCGGGCGGUGCAGGAUGAGCCCGCGGCCUAUCAGCUAGUUGGUGAGGUAACGGCUCACCAAGGCGACGACGGGUAGCCGGCCUGAGAGGGCGACCGGCCACACUGGGACUGAGACACGGCCCAGACUCCUACGGGAGGCAGCAGUGGGGAAUAUUGCACAAUGGGCGAAAGCCUGAUGCAGCGACGCCGCGUGAGGGAUGACGGCCUUCGGGUUGUAAACCUCUUUCAGCAGGGAAGAAGCGAAAGUGACGGUACCUGCAGAAGAAGCGCCGGCUAACUACGUGCCAGCAGCCGCGGUAAUACGUAGGGCGCAAGCGUUGUCCGGAAUUAUUGGGCGUAAAGAGCUCGUAGGCGGCUUGUCACGUCGGUUGUGAAAGCCCGGGGCUUAACCCCGGGUCUGCAGUCGAUACGGGCAGGCUAGAGUUCGGUAGGGGAGAUCGGAAUUCCUGGUGUAGCGGUGAAAUGCGCAGAUAUCAGGAGGAACACCGGUGGCGAAGGCGGAUCUCUGGGCCGAUACUGACGCUGAGGAGCGAAAGCGUGGGGAGCGAACAGGAUUAGAUACCCUGGUAGUCCACGCCGUAAACGGUGGGCACUAGGUGUGGGCAACAUUCCACGUUGUCCGUGCCGCAGCUAACGCAUUAAGUGCCCCGCCUGGGGAGUACGGCCGCAAGGCUAAAACUCAAAGGAAUUGACGGGGGCCCGCACAAGCGGCGGAGCAUGUGGCUUAAUUCGACGCAACGCGAAGAACCUUACCAAGGCUUGACAUACACCGGAAUAACCCUGGAGACAGGGUCCCCCUUGUGGUCGGUGUACAGGUGGUGCAUGGCCGUC